rnacentral:rRNA from 1 species
UACAGAGGGGGCAAGCGUUGUUCGGAAUUACUGGGCGUAAAGGGCGCGUAGGCGGCCUGUUAAGUCGAACGUGAAAUCCCCGGGCUCAACCCGGGAACUGCGUCCGAUACUGGCAGGCUUGAAUCCGGGAGAGGGAUGCGGAAUUCCAGGUGUAGCGGUGAAAUGCGUAGAUAUCUGGAGGAACACCGGUGGGCGAAGGCGGCAUCCUGGACCGGCAUUGACGCUGAGGCGCGAAAGCCAGGGAGCAAACGGGG